CCUGAGAAACCCAAAAGAUCGAAUGGGGAGAUUCAUCGUCAGCGGCGCUGGCACGCGGGCGGUUUUGCGAUGUUAGCGCGGCCUCGCGGUCGCGCGGGCACGCGGCCGCCCGCGAACUGGGUUCAUCGCCCCUGUGUCUGUUGCCUGGCGUCGUCGGCGUGCACUUCUACCCUGGUAGGACGUCGCGACCCGUUGGGCUUCGGUCCACGGCCCGGGUGGGAGUCUGUCUCGUGUGCGCCUCGCGGCGUUUCCAGCGGGUCAGACCCCCGGUCGCCCGACCGGCUGCCCGGCGGUACUCGCACGGUAUAUGGCCGCAAUGUAAUCUCGAACGCUGCGUCCGGCCCGUCGUCAGCGUGGCAAGUGGAUCCCGGUGCGAGCGGAUCCGAGGCCGCCACCGAGCCUGGCCAGCUGUUUGACCGACGCGGCUUGAAAACGAACGAAGGACCGGCCAAUCGCGCAAAAUUGCGUAAGCACGUUACCGGUCGGCGACGCUACUGCUUUGGGUACUUUCAGGACCCGUCUUGAAACACGGACCAAGGAGUCUAACAUGCGCGCGAGUCAUUGGGAAUGACUCAAGCCCAGAGGCGCAAUGAAAGUGAAGGUUGGCCCCGCGCCGACCGAGGGAGGAUGGGCCGCGUUCUCGCGGACGCGGUCCCGCACUCCCGGGGCGUCUCGCCCUCAUCGCGAGGAGAGGCGCACCCAGAGCGNGCACG
rnacentral:rRNA from 1 species